GGUCUCCAGCUGCGGGUCACUCACACCUGCCGCUGUGAAAUGCAGACCCGCAGGGCAGGAAUUCCGAGUCCGGGCUGGAGCGCGAUCUGGAAUCUGACUCUCUUGAAACAGCACCGCGGUGGAUUCGGGGCCGGAGCCUGCGAGAUCAAGUUACAGACAACAUGAGCUUCUACCUCCAGAUGUGCCAGGGUGCAUCUCUUGGGUACAAGAACAAGGGUUUGGUUUUGUUUUACAAAAUCAAAGUACAAAUCUCAAAUAGGAUAAUAUUUUUAAACCGUCAUUGGGGCAUACUUUGCAUGCUAUAAAUGUAUCUAUUUGAAAUGUACAGCUCAUUGAGUUUUACUCUUUGGGUGUUUUACACACCCACGUAUCUGCUACUACAAUGAAGAUAAAUAACAUUUCCAUAGUGCCCUAAAGAACAGCCAUGUAAUAAAAUUCCAUGCAGUUGUUAAAAAGAGGAGGAUGAAUUUUUAAGUAUUGCUAUGAGAAGAUCUGUGCCCAACCUACUUUUACCCAUUUUUAAAAGGACAAGGAUAUAUGGAAUUAUAAUGCCAGUAAUACCACUUAGAUAAUAUUUUAAGUAGGAGAAAACCUUAAAAUUACUCACCAAAAUUUUGACAGGGACUGGGAUAACUUUGUGACUUUCAGUUUCUCUGAAAGUUUGGAAUUUUUUAUUACAGUAUAAACUUGGAUUUUAGUCAGGCACGAUGGCUCAGGCCUGUAAUCCCAGCUCUGGAAGUUGAAGGAUAGCUUGAGCCCAGGAGUUCGAGACUGCAGUGAGCUAUGAUCUCACCACUACACUCCAGGCUGGAUGACAGAAAGAGACCUUGUCUCAAAAAUAAAUAAAUAACAUUUAAAAAUAAAAAUAACAAACUUGGAUUUGUAUAGUGGUUAAGACAGAAUAUUUGUUUGAAAAAUGUUAUGAAGGUAACCAAAUACUUACAGGAUUUUAAAAAUCAAAGUGUUAAUUAAAAUCCAACUCCAGAAACUCUCUUUUAAGAGGACUUCAUAUUUCAUGGCAUUGAUUCCUUCUCAAAGUGCCUUUGAUAGAGCUGUUCUUAGUGCAGUAGGGAGAUGUGUAACAAUUUUACAAAAGGGGCGGGCUAUAAUAAAAAGGAAAAUGCAAAAUCCGGUGGGGACACCCUGUCCCAUUUAUUUUCAAAGCACGUUUGAAAACUGCCCUGCUAUAGUGUCUUUGGGUUGAGACAAAGUCGAGGAAAAUCUUGUUCCUGGAGUGCUGAUUUCCUUUUUCCAAGGGCCAAAGCCUUUCGAAGCAAGUCUAAAAACUCAGGCUGACUUCCGGAUCUAGAAAAGUCUUUAGAAAGUUUGUGCAGGCCUCUAAGCUGUAAGAAUCCAACCCAUCUUGGUGAUGCCCUCUCGGGCUCCACCCAGUGGCCAUAACCGGAAGGACAGGACGCGGUGAAAUGGCAUCAGUGAGUCAGAGGCCAAAGGAGGAUUCCAGGCCCCAGCGCGCAGGAUGUGCAUUGUCAUAGUGGGGUUGGGUUAGCGAAGCGAAGGCAAGGACACUCAGGGAAUAAAUGGCAGAGGAAGCAGGCGCGCUAGGGAGGAUCUAAAGCCUUCAGGCUUCUUGCUUUUCUUCCUGUUGGGUUGGAGGGGACCAACGUGGUCCCGGGAGGGGAGGUCCGUGGGAUGUAGAGAAUGGAGUGGCUGCAAAGGGGCGUUGCACGCCCCACCCAAGGGUCCUGGCUCUCUUCUCCCAGCUACUACUGAUGAGUUCAAACCAAGGAGGAGACCAAGAUUUGUCCUUUGCAAAGUAGACUCCUUAUUUCACACUCCGGCUGGUUUUCUAAAUCCAU